rnacentral:lncRNA from 1 species
AUGCUGCCCCACGCCCAGUGGCAACAUGACCCCAGGCUGGUGGCAGCACAGGCCAAGGGCCUGUCCACACUCCAGGCUGGCCUGGCCAUCCAUGCACUGCCGCCUCCUGCAGGGGGGCCCUGGGCUUCCCCAGGGCGGGUCUUAGCUUCCGGCCCCCGCCCUAGAGGCCCUGCCUGUGGCCUGGCUUGUCUGGGGGGUGGGGCCGAGCGCGGGGCUCCCUCCGGCCAAGGGCGGCCAGCGGCGAGCGGCUCAGGGACUAGGUCUCCUGGGGUGGCUGCACCCGUCACCGAGACACUGAAGGACCCACUGGGCGAAGUAAAUCCCAUCUGGGUGGUGCACAUCUGCCCCUCCUCCUGGAGGGAGGGCCGUAGGUGUUCGGGACCGGCCGGGGGUCGGGAACCUCCCUGCGCCAGGGCCCCGUGGAACCAGGCGGACACGCUCCCCACGGCUGCUCAGCCCCGAGUGCGCCCCUGGGCCCCCCGGGGGAAGUCACCAAAGCCUUGCCGGCUGCACGGAGCUCUGCACCCUUCCCCCCCCCCCCCCCCACACACACACAGGGCCAGGGCCUCUGGGACGCUUCUACUCGCCACAUGUUUCUUCAGCUUUGGGGGCACUCUGUCUAGAAUGUGCUGUGACAGGCCCGGAAUGAAGAAGGCCCCAGGCCCGCCGACAGUCGGAGCCUUGUCCCCACCGGGUGGGGGUCGAGUGCCUGACAGGGGCCUCCUCUCCGUGCAGUGGCUCCGCUGUGUGCACAGCCCUCCCGAGCCCUGGCUGGACACGCGCUGGGAAGAGCCUGGGGUGGCAGGGGCAGAGGACACCCCUCCUCACAGAGAGCCGGCCGGGCUGGUGCCCUGCGCUGGGGCCCGGGCAUGUCUGGCCAGCACCCUCUUCCCUGCAGCGGCCACAGCAGGGGCAACGGGGUUCCAGGCACAGGGGCAGGGAGUGUGGCCCACAGGGAGGCCGGGGGCGGGUGUGUGCGUGCAGCCCCCACGGCUCGCCACGAGCGCCUCAGAGGCCACGUUUCUCUGGGCUCAAGUCUACGCACAAUGA